GAUACACACUGAGAGGUGUCUGUGAAUCCGGCAUACAGGAGUCUACGUGUCUGCAGUUGCAUGUGCAGAAGUCUGUAAUAUUACUGCAAUUGAUAUGUCACUGCCAGACCUGUUAGAAAGGCAAAAGUGCAGCAUUACAAUGACAUCAUUCCAGAAAUAAAAAGUCAAAAGACCAACAAGGAAUUACAACUUUUCCAGUCAAACAAGAAGUUCCACAAUUCACCUACAAAGAUUAGGUCAAGGGCAAUGUUUAAAAAAACAACUACAGAAGCAAUGCCAACAAUACCUACAGAGA